rnacentral:rRNA from 1 species
CCUACGGGAGGCAGCAGUGAGGAAUAUUGGUCAAUGGACGAGAGUCUGAACCAGCCAAGUAGCGUGCAGGAUGACUGCCCUAUGGGUUGUAAACUUCUUUUAUAAAGGAAUAAAACGAGGCACGUGUGCCUUUUUGCAUGUACUUUAUGAAUAAGGAUCGGCUAACUCCGUGCCAGCAGCCGCGGUAAUACGGAGGAUGCGAGCGUUAUCCGGAUUUAUUGGGUUUAAAGGGUGCGUAGGCGGAAGAUCAAGUCAGCGUGAAAAAUCCGGGGUCCAACCCCGUCGUGCCGUUGAAACUGUUGGUCUUGAGUGGGCGAGAAGUAGGCGGAAUGCGUGGUGUAGCGGUGAAAUGCAUAGAGAUCAUGCAGAACUCCGAUUGCGAAGGCAGCAUACCGGCGCCCAACUGACGCUGAGGCACGAAAGCGUGGGGAGCGAACAGGAUUAGAUACCCGAGUAGUC